UGAGUGAGUGGCGGACGGGUGAGUAACACGUGGGUAACCUGCCCUAAAGUGGGGGAUAACAUUUGGAAACAGAUGCUAAUACCGCAUAAAACCUAGCACCGCAUGGUGCAAGGUUGAAAGAUGGUUUCGGCUAUCACUUUAGGAUGGACCCGCGGUGCAUUAGUUAGUUGGUGAGGUAAAGGCUCACCAAGACCGUGAUGCAUAGCCGACCUGAGAGGGUAAUCGGCCACACUGGGACUGAGACACGGCCCAGACUCCUACGGGAGGCAGCAGUAGGGAAUCUUCCACAAUGGACGAAAGUCUGAUGGAGCAACGCCGCGUGAGUGAAGAAGGUUUUCGGAUCGUAAAACUCUGUUGUUGGAGAAGAACGUAUUUGAUAGUAACUGAUCAGGUAGUGACGGUAUCCAACCAGAAAGCCACGGCUAACUACGUGCCAGCAGCCGCGGUAAUACGUAGGUGGCAAGCGUUGUCCGGAUUUAUUGGGCGUAAAGCGAGCGCAGGCGGUUUCUUAAGUCUGAUGUGAAAGCCUUCGGCUCAACCGAAGAAGUGCAUCGGAAACUGGGAAACUUGAGUGCAGAAGAGGACAGUGGAACUCCAUGUGUAGCGGUGAAAUGCGUAGAUAUAUGGAAGAACACCAGUGGCGAAGGCGGCUGUCUGGUCUGUAACUGACGCUGAGGCUCGAAAGCAUGGGUAGCAAACAGGAUUAGAUACCCUGGUAGUCCAUGCCGUAAACGAUGAGUGCUAGGUGUUGGAGGGUUUCCGCCCUUCAGUGCCGCAGCUAACGCAUUAAGCACUCCGCCUGGAGAGUACGACCGCAAGGUUGAAACUCAAAGGAAUUGACGGGCGCCCGCACAAGCGGUGGAGCAUGUGGUUUAAUUCGAAGCAACGCGAAGAACCUUACCAGGUCUUGACAUCCUUUGACCACUCUAGAGAUAGAGCUUUCCCUUCGGGGACAAAGUGACAGGUGGUGCAUGGUUGUCGUCAGCUCGUGUCGUGAGAUGUUGGGUUAAGUCCCGCAACGAGCGCAUCCUUAUUACUAGUUGCCAGCAUUUAGUUGGGCC
rnacentral:rRNA from 1 species